GGCCUGAGAGGGUGAUCGGACACACUGGAACUGAGACACGGUCCAGACUCCUACGGGAGGCAGCAGUAGGGAAUAUUGCUCAAUGGGGGAAACCCUGAAGCAGCAACGCCGCGUGGAGGAUGAAGGUUUUAGGAUUGUAAACUCCUUUUGUGAGAGAAGAUUAUGACGGUAUCUCACGAAUAAGCACCGGCUAACUCCGUGCCAGCAGCCGCGGUAAUACGGAGGGUGCAAGCGUUACUCGGAAUCACUGGGCGUAAAGAGUGCGCAGGCGGGGUGGUAAGUCAGAUGUGAAAUCCUGUAGCUUAACUACAGAACUGCAUUUGAAACUAUCACUCUAGAGUAUGGGAGAGGUAGGUGGAAUUCU
rnacentral:rRNA from 1 species